rnacentral:rRNA from 1 species
GACAGAGGAUGCAAGCGUUAUCCAGAAUGAUUGGGCGUAAAGCGUCUGUAGGUGGCUUUUUAAGUCCGCCGUCAAAUCCCAGAGCUCAACCCUGGACAGGCGGUGAAAACUACCAAGCUGGAGUACGAUAGGGGCAGAGGGAAUUUCCGGUGGAGCGGUGAAAUGCGUAGAGAUCGGAAAGAACACCAAUGGCAAAAGCACUCUACUGGGCCGACACUGACACUGAGAGACGAAAGCUAGGGAGCGAAUG